UAGGUUUGGGCAUCCCAUAAAGGAUGUACACCACACACGCCAAUAUAGCAGAAAGCAAUGAAAGGAGGUAGAGGUGGUACGAAAACACUUAAGAUGGAUGGUUAACACUUCAGAUGGUACAGCUUUAGGAUAACUACACCUGUUACUGUGAGAGAGAUUUAUUGAAAGUGAUGGAGUCACUUAAGAUGUUGCAGCUGUACUUUCACCAGACAUGAGCCGAAAAUGGUCUCCAAUAAAAAGCAAGUGGCAAUUAGA